GACGAACGCUGGCGGCGUGCUUAACACAUGCAAGUCGAACGGAAAGGCCCUGCUUUUGUGGGGUGCUCGAGUGGCGAACGGGUGAGUAACACGUGAGUAACCUGCCCUUGACUUUGGGAUAACUUCAGGAAACUGGGGCUAAUACCGGAUAGGAGCUCCUGCUGCAUGGUGGGGGUUGGAAAGUUUCGGCGGUUGGGGAUGGACUCGCGGCUUAUCAGCUUGUUGGUGGGGUAGUGGCUUACCAAGGCUUUGACGGGUAGCCGGCCUGAGAGGGUGACCGGCCACAUUGGGACUGAGAUACGGCCCAGACUCCUACGGGAGGCAGCAGUGGGGAAUAUUGCACAAUGGGCGGAAGCCUGAUGCAGCAACGCCGCGUGCGGGAUGACGGCCUUCGGGUUGUAAACCGCUUUCGCCUGCGACGAAGCGUGAGUGACGGUAAUGGGUAAAGAAGCACCGGCUAACUAUGUG
rnacentral:rRNA from 1 species